CAGGGAUUGCCCUAGUAACGGCGAGUGAAGCGGCAACAGCUCAAAUUUGAAAUCUGGCCUCUUUGGGGUCCGAGUUGUAAUUUGCAGAGGGCGCUUGGCGUUGGCAGCGGUCCAAGUUCCUUGGAACAGGACGUCACAGAGGGUGAGAAUCCCGUACGUGGUCGCUGGCUUUCGCCGUGUAAAGCCCCUUCGACGAGUCGAGUUGUUUGGGAAUGCAGCUCUAAAUGGGAGGUAAAUGUCUUCUAAAGCUAAAUACUGGCCAGAGACCGAUAGCGCACAAGUAGAGUGAUCGAAAGAUGAAAAGCACUUUGGAAAGAGAGUUAAAAAGCACGUGAAAUUGUUGAAAGGGAAGCGCUUGCAGCCAGACUUGCCUGUAGUUGCUCAUCCGGGUUUUUACCCGGUGCACUCUUCUGCGGGCAGGCCAGCAUCAGUUUGGGCGGUUGGAUAAAGGUCUCUGUCAUGUACCUCUCUUCGGGGAGAUCUUAUAGGGGAGACGACAUGCAACCAGCCCGGACUGAGGUCCGCGCAUCUGCUAGGAUGCUGGCGUAAUGGCUGUAAGCGGCCCGUCUUGAAACACGGACCAAGGAGUCUAACAUCUAUGCGAGUGUUUGGGUGUCAAGCCCGAACGCGUAAUGAAAGUGAACGGAGGUGGGAACCUUUCGGGGUGCACCAUCGACCGAUCCUGAUGUCUUCGGAUGGAUUUGAGUAAGAGCAUAGCUGUUGGGACCCGAAAGAUGGUGAACUAUGCUUGAAUAGGGUGAAGCCAGAGGAAACUCUGGUGGAGGCUCGCAGCGGUUCUGACGUGCAAAUCGAUCGUCAAAUUUGGGCAUAGGGGCGAAAGACUAAUCG
rnacentral:rRNA from 1 species